GGAUAACCUGCCCUUGGGACCGGCAUAACCCCGGGAAACUGGGGAUAAUUCCGGAUAACGCAUAUUUGCUGGAAUGCUUUAUGCGUCAAAAGGAUUCGUCUGCCCAAGGAUGGGUCUGCGGCCUAUCAGGUAGUAGUGGGUGUAAUGUACCUACUAGCCAGCGACGGGUACGGGUUGUGAGAGCAAGAGCCCGGAGAUGGAUUCUGAGACAUGAAUCCAGACCCUACGGGGCGCAGCAGGCGCGAAAACUUUACAAUGCGGGAAACCGUGAUAAGGGGACACCGAGUGCCAGCAUCAUAUGCUGGCUGUCCGGAUGUGUAAAAUACAUCCGUUAGCAAGGGCCGGGCAAGACCGGUGCCAGCCGCCGCGGUAACACCGGCGGCCCGAGUGGUGAUCGUGAUUAUUGGGUCUAAAGGGUCCGUAGCCGGUUUGGUCAGUCCUCCGGGAAAUCUGAUAGCUCAACUAUUAGGCUUUCGGGGGAUACUGCCAGACUUGGAACCGGGAGAGGUAAGAGGUACUACAGGGGUAGGAGUGAAAUCUUGUAAUCCCUGUGGGACCACCUGUGGCGAAGGCGUCUUACCAGAACGGGUUCGACGGUGAGGGACGAAAGCUGGGGGCACGAACCGGAUUAGAUACCCGGGUAGUCCCAGCCGUAAACGAUGCUCGCUAGGUGUCAGGCAUGGCGCGACCGUGUCUGGUGCCGCAGGGAAGCCGUGAAGCGAGCCACCUGGGAAGUACGGCCGCAAGGCUGAAACUUAA
rnacentral:rRNA from 1 species